UACGUAGGGUGCGAGCGUUGUCCGGAAUUACUGGGCGUAAAGAGCUUGUAGGCGGUUUGUCGCGUCGUCCGUGAAAACCAGUGGCUUAACCAUUGGCUUGCGGGCGAUACGGGCAGACUUGAGUAUUGCAGGGGAGACUGGAAUUCCUGGUGUAGCGGUGAAAUGCGCAGAUAUCAGGAGGAACACCGGUGGCGAAGGCGGGUCUCUGGGCAGUAACUGACGCUGAGAAGCGAAAGCGUGGGGAGCGAACAGG
rnacentral:rRNA from 1 species